UAGUCUGGGAUACCACUUGGAAACAGGUGCUAAUACCGGAUAAGAAAGCGGAUCGCAUGAUCAGCUUUUAAAAGGCGGCGUAAGCUGUCGCUAUUGGGAUGGCCCCGCGGUGCAUUAGCUAGUUGGUAAGGUAAAGGCUUACCAAGGCGAUGAUGCAUAGCCGAGUUGAGAGACUGAUCGGCCACAUUGGGACUGAGACACGGCCCAAACUCCUACGGGAGGCAGCAGGC
rnacentral:rRNA from 1 species